UGCAGUCGAACGGCAGCAUAGGAGCUUGCUCCUGAUGGCGAGUGGCGAACGGGUGAGUAAUAUAUCGGAACGUGCCCUAGAGUGGGGGAUAACUAGUCGAAAGAUUAGCUAAUACCGCAUACGAUCUACGGAUGAAAGUGGGGGAUCGCAAGACCUCAUGCUCCUGGAGCGGCCGAUAUCUGAUUAGCUAGUUGGUGAGGUAAAAGCUCACCAAGGCGACGAUCAGUAGCUGGUCUGAGAGGACGACCAGCCACACUGGGACUGAGACACGGCCCAGACUCCUACGGGAGGCAGCAGUGGGGAAUUUUGGACAAUGGGGGCAACCCUGAUCCAGCAAUGCCGCGUGAGUGAAGAAGGCCUUCGGGUUGUAAAGCUCUUUUGUCAGGGAAGAAACGGUUUUGGCUAAUAUCCAGAACUAAUGACGGUACCUGAAGAAUAAGCACCGGCUAACUACGUGCCAGCAGCCGCGGUAAUACGUAGGGUGCAAGCGUUAAUCGGAAUUACUGGGCGUAAAGCGUGCGCAGGCGGUUGUGUAAGACAGAUGUGAAAUCCCCGGGCUCAACCUGGGAAUUGCAUUUGUGACUGCACGGCUAGAGUGUGUCAGAGGGGGGUAGAAUUCCACGUGUAGCAGUGAAAUGCGUAGAUAUGUGGAGGAAUACCGAUGGCGAAGGCAGCCCCCUGGGAUAACACUGACGCUCAUGCACGAAAGCGUGGGGAGCAAACAGGAU
rnacentral:rRNA from 1 species